rnacentral:rRNA from 1 species
AUGUAUAUGUACCUACUCCCCCGUAAAAAGAAAACAAACAACGCACGCCCCCACGUCCUCUCGCCCCGCCCGCACGACCUCGACCUCUCCCUGCUCCUCCUCCCCCGCCGUUCGCCCUCUCCCGUUCCUCGCCGCUCCUCCCGAGCCUCCCGCCGCUCCUCCAUUCCUCCUGAGCCGCCCGCCACGCCCUUCGCCGCAGGAUCCCCUUCGUCGCGGGAACCGCCGUCGAGCCCGUCCGUCGCGCCCGAGCCGCCGCCGGAGCCGCCCUUCGCCGCGGCUCGCAGGUCGCCGAGCCGCCGCCCCGGAGCCGCCCUUCGCCGUGGUCCGCAGGUCACCGAGCCGCCGCCCCCGCCCUUCGACGCAGCCCGCAGGUUCCCCAGCCGCCAACGCACGCCCCCACGUCCUCCCGCCGCCCCGGAGCCGCAACGCGACGGGCCCAACCCGGAGAUCCACAACACUGGCGGGCUGAGCCGGCGGGGCUUCCCGGCGGGGUUCGUGUUCGGGACGGCCGCGUCGGCGUACCAGGUGGAGGGCAUGGCGAGGCAGGGCGGGCGCGGGCCCAGCAUCUGGGACGCCUUCGCAGCCAUACCGGGGACGAUCGCCGGCAAUGGCACCGCCGACGUGACGGUCGACGAGUACCAUAGGUACAAGGAGGAUGUGAGCAUAAUGAAGGAAAUGGGCUUCGACGCGUACCGGUUCUCGAUCUCCUGGUCGAAUAUUUACCCAGAUGGGACUGGGAAGGUGAACCAGGAAGGAGUGGACUACUACAGCAGGCUCAUAGAUUACAUGCUCCAGCAAGAUGAGCACUUGUUCACCUUUGUUGUAGCGCAGAGACUUGUUCCAGAUAUUUAA